rnacentral:sRNA from 1 species
GUGUACUACAAGUACACUCCGGUCCCUGCGCUCCGGUCGGCGCCAGCUGACGGCCUCUCGCUACGGCCCAUGAACA